GACGAACGCUGGCGGCGUGCUUAACACAUGCCAGUCGAACGGAAAGGCCCUGCUUUUGUGGGGUGCUCGAGUGGCGAACGGGUGAGUAACACGUGAGUAACCUGCCCUUGACUUUGGGAUAACUUCAGGAAACUGGGGCUAAUACCGGAUAGGAGCUCCUGCUGCAUGGUGGGGGUUGGAAAGUUUCGGCGGUUGGGGAUGGACUCGCGGCUUAUCAGCUUGUUGGUGGGGUAGGGGCUUACCAAGGCUUUGACGGAUAGCCGGCCUGAGAGGGUGACCGGCCACAUUGGGACUGAGAUACGGCCCAGACUCCUACGGGAGGCAGCGGUGGGGAAUAUUGCACAAUGGGCGGAAGCCUGAUGCAGCAACGCCGCGUGCGGGAUGACGGCCUUCGGGUUGUAAACCGCUUUCGCCUGUGACGAAGCGUGAGUGACGGUAAUGGGUAAAGAAGCACCGGCUAACUACGUG
rnacentral:rRNA from 1 species